UACGUAGGGGGCAAGCGUUUGUCCGGAGUUACUGGGCGUAAAGCGCACGCAGGCGGUCUUUUAAGUUUGGAGUGACAGUUGGUGGCUUAACUGCCAAAGUGCUUCGAAAACUGAGAGACUUGAGGGCUUCAGAGGGACACGGAAUUCCGGGUGGAGUGGUGAAAUGCGUAGAGAUCCGGAGGAACACCAAAGGCGAAGGCAGUGUCCUGGGGAGUACCUGACGCUCAGGUGCGAAAGCCAGGGGAGCGAACGGG
rnacentral:rRNA from 1 species